GUUACAGAUUUUGCUCUUGAGAAGGAUUCUCCUCCAAAAAGAAGAAAUAAUAACCAAUUGAGACAGGAUGGCUUUUUGGAAGGACUUCUUGCAAAGGCUCCUUGGAUUCAAAGAAGAUGUAACUGGGAGCAAUCGUUCAUUAGCAGUGGAGACAUACUGGAAAUCGAGAAAAUCCUGGGUCUGCAUUGUAUUUCCUGAUAAAUUCAAAUUUCCCUGCCACCGUGAUGGAAAGCAAGCUGAGAUUUGAUGAAUGAAAUUGAGACUCACUGUGAAACAGAGCAACAGCUUUGAAGAGCUGCCAGAUUUCAGCAAAGGUGAGAAUCCAUCCCUCACAGAGCAGGAGACAGGCUGAGCAGCAGAGCCAUUUGAUAGAUGUUAAAAGACAAACCACCAAAAGGCAAAUAUGCCUUUGGAAAACAGUAUUAAGUAAUAUUUUAAAGAAUGGCCACACAUCAUAUUCACACAGAUGCCAACAGGAAGCCCAGCUCAGGAAAAGAAAAGCUUUCAGGACUCGGGCUGAAGACAAGGAUUGCUCUUGAAGUAACUGUAAAAUGCAAUGACCUUGUGGGAGCCCACCUCGAUGAGGCUGGAUAUUUGACUGAUGUACCACUCAAGUCAUUUUCACAGAGCUUGGGAGGAAUUUCAGCUGCAAGAAAUUCUCUGCUUGAGCUUUAGUUUCUUUAUCUCAAGCAUGCUGCUGCAGAGCUCUAAAAGUGGGAAGGGGGCAAGGGCUCGUUUGUGGAGCUGGAAGAUUGGGUGGGCAUAUCCAGGUGGUUUUGCCCUCCAAUUCAUUGUACCUAAAUGCACCUGUCUCUAAUUCUCUGUGUAAUCAUGAAGAUGUUUCUCAGCUGGUGAGCUCAGGUGUGCUGGGGCUGCAGUGGAGCAGGUCUGAACACAAGGCAGAAUUUAGUCAGUUUUUGUGCUGAGGAGACAACCAAAGCUCCAGGGAUGGCACUUUGAAGGCCUUUUCCUCCUUAUUCCAGGGUACUGCCUUGAUGGAGCUGCAUCUGUCUUGGUGAGAAAUUUUCUGUGGGGGAGGUGGGGGGGUCGUGGCUGAGGUUCUGGUGUGGGUGGGUGACAGUGCACUCAGGGAAUGUGUUAUAGGUGCUUCAGUGUUGUAUUUUGGGGCCUCUAGGAAACGGAUGGGAAGGCAGAGUUGCUGCCUCAGAAAUUCCAGGUCAAAAUAGACUAAGACAUGACAAAGUAUAAGGGCAAGGUGUUCUAUUAUGCAUUAUAUAAGGCCAAGAGAAGACUCUGAGAGCUUAUUUAAACUUAAAAUCAGAGAGGGGCAAAUCUACAAGACCCUGUCGAUAUCAGAUUGGAGUGUAUGCAUGCUUUUAGAGCAACCACAAACAUGUUUCUCCCUUGUAAGGCUCAUUAUCCUAAUAUAGAAAGCUCCUGGAGAUAAGGCUGUGUCGGGCAUACGGUAGAGCCUAUGCUCCAGGCACAGGGAGUAAGUGUUGAGGCAAGAAAUGACUUUUUCCUGGCAUGACCCACUAAGAUUGAACUGGAAUGGCAAUUAGAAGUUGAAGUGCUCAUUUAAUGUCAGUGAUGUGUAAACUACGUUGCCAUUGUUAUUUUAGUGCUUAUUUACAUAAUUGGCAUACCCUGAAGUCACACUGCACGAACUUUCAGUUCAUGCUAAAGACUUGCAGGAAGUCAUAAAAUUAAACAU
rnacentral:lncRNA from 1 species